rnacentral:rRNA from 1 species
CCUUACCUACCCUUGACAUGUACGGAAUCCUGCUGAGAGGUGGGAGUGCUCGAAAGAGAACCGUAACACAGGUGCUGCAUGGCUGUCGUCAGCUCGUGUCGUGAGAUGUUGGGUUAAGUCCCGCAACGAGCGCAACCCUUGUCCUUAGUUGCUACGCAAGAGCACUCUAAGGAGACUGCCGGUGACAAACCGGAGGAAGGUGGGGAUGACGUCAAGUCCUCAUGGCCCUUAUGGGUAGGGCUUCACACGUCAUACAAUGGUCGGUACAGAGGGCUGCCAAACCGCGAGGUGGAGCUAACCCCAGAAAACCGAUCGUAGUCCGGAUCGCAGUCUGCAACUCGACUGCGUGAAGCUGGAAUCGCUAGUAAUCGCGGAU